rnacentral:rRNA from 1 species
UACGUAGGGGGCAAGCGUUGUCCGGAUUUACUGGGCGUAAAGGGCGCGUAGGCGGUAGAUUAAGUCAGAUGUGAAAGUCCACGGCUCAACCGUGGAAGUGCAUUUGAAACUGGUUUACUUGAGUGCAGGAGAGGAGAGCGGAAUUCCUAGUGUAGCGGUGGAAUGCGUAGAUAUUAGGAAGAACUCCAGUGGCGAAGGCGGCUCUCUGGACUGUAACUGACGCUGAGGCGCGAAAGCGUGGGGAGCGAACAGGAUUAGAUACCCUGGUAGUCCACGCCGUAAACGAUGAGUGCUAGGUGUUGGGGGUCGAACCUCAGUGCCGCAGUUAACACAUUAAGCACUCCGCCUGGGGAGUACGACCGCAAGGUUGAA